rnacentral:lncRNA from 1 species
GUUCAGUGAACUGGUCAAAGCAGCUGAGAGAUGCACCUGCUGACUUUGUGCUCUUGUCUGCUAUUUCCUUUCCACUUAAGUCAUUCUCAACAAAACAGUGAGAGAGGUUUGAUUACCUUCGGAAGUAGCUGGCCCAGGCAUGCAAUCAGGGCUUAAUUGGAAACCCCGAGUGCCAAGUCUGGCCCCUCAGAUGAGCAGAUUCCCUCCAGGGGGAAGGAUAAGUAUAUAUUUCUUUGUUGGGGUGGGGGGGGUCUCUUGAAGCCUCUCUGCACUUAAUAACUGAAAUCAAAGGCUCCCUGGAUGAACCCACUUAGGCAAGAGAAAGGUUUUUCAUCUGCCUAACACAAUUUCAAGCAACUCCCAGUGAACGCAAUUCAUCUCUUUAAAAGACACUGAGAGAGUCGGGCAUGUUGGUGCAUGCUGUAGUCCUUGCUACUUGGGAAGCAGAGGCAGAGGAUCACUUGAGCCCAGAAGGUUAAGGCUGCAGUGAGCUAUGACCACGCCACUGCAUUCCAGCCUGGGUAACAGAGUAGGACCCCAUUUCUUAAAAAAAUACUGAGGGAAAGAGAGGAAAUUCCAUUUUGAGUAUUCUACCCAGAGCUAUCAGAACCAGGGCUCAGCAGGCGAGUGAGGUGGAGAUUGAGCAAGCCUCUUGGGCAGGACAGGUGAGACUCAUCUCAGCUCCCAGAGUUUGUAGCAAAUGUGCAGGAGGCAUGCAUUCCAGCUGUCUUCACUCAGGGAGGACUUAAGUUCUCGUUGUCCCUGGGUUUCAUAGCUCCAGGUCUGGGCAGAGGUCUGUAUCUGCUGCCAUCAUGCGUUGUGCCUUUGUCUUCGUUAGAACUUCAUAAGUAUGGAAUCAUCCAGGCUGUCUGUGACUUACCGUGCUGGGCUCGGCUGUCAUCGGAGAUCAACCGGCAUUCAGCCAGCACUUCUCCAAGGUGAUCUGAAGCGUCUCAGGCUACAUGGCUCCCACCUAUUAUUUUUUGGUGCUGGCUUGUAUUUUGAACACAUCUGCAAGACACCCUUGGCUGACUCAUUAAUUCCUUGUCAUGCUCUCAAGAGAAAAGCUUAAUGGGGCUAUUUCCUAUAUUUUUAUCCAGCAUGAUGAGCUUUUUCCUUGAGUUUUUCUAAAUUUUCCUGUAGGUCCUGAGAAUCCGUCCCCUGAUCGGCUCUUGAUGUAGUUUCCAGGCUUGGUGUGAGGAAGGUGGCUAUUUU